GCCGGGGUGGCGGAACAGGUAGACGCGAAGGACUUAAAAUCCUUUUCCCCGGAGACGGGGAGUGCCGGUUCGAUUCCGGCCCCCGGCA
rnacentral:tRNA from 1 species